rnacentral:rRNA from 1 species
AUACAGAGGGUGCAAGCGUUAAUCGGAUUUACUGGGCGUAAAGCGCGCGUAGGUGGCUAAUUAAGUCAAAUGUGAAAUCCCCGAGCUUAACUUGGGAAUUGCAUUCGAUACUGGUUAGCUAGAGUAUGGGGGAGGAUGGUAGAAUUCCAGGUGUAGCGGUGAAAUGCGUAGAGAUCUGGAGGAAUACCGAUGGCGAAGGCAGCCAUCUGGCCUAAUACUGACACUGAGGUGCGAAAGCAUGGGGAGCAAACAGGAUUAGAUACCCUGGUAGUCCAUGCCGUAAACGAUGUCUACUAGCCGUUGGGGCCCUUGAGGCUUUAGUGGCGCAGCUAACGCGAUAAGUAGACCGCCUGGGGAGUACGGUCGCAAGACUAAAACUCAAAUGAAUUGACGGGG